rnacentral:lncRNA from 1 species
CUGGAGUGGUAAGAUGGCGGACGAGCAGCUGCAGCAGCUCCGUGCGGUGCUACAGGGGGAGGGGAAGGUGGUUUCUCCUGACACAAGCUGGAGGCCGGAGCCUGUGGCACCCUGGCUUGCCUCACUGAAGCUGGUGGCUGUGACAGGGACUGCACGGCUGCUGGAGUGGUAGAAAGGCAGCCCAGGUAGGAAGCCAUCAUUCUGUAGAAGGCAGUGACGGAACAGUACCAGCAGAAAUUGAAGGACCAGCAGAAGGGAUCAUGGCCAAAGUUGCAGUGUCCCCCCGCUCGUUGAAGAUGAGGAGUUCUCAGAGAGCGGGAUGUUUGUGACAUUCCUCAUGUCAGCUCUCGAGUCCAUGACUCUCACUCGGUCGUCCAGGCUGGAGUGCAGUGGCACCAUCUUGGCUCAUUGCAACAUCUGGCUCCCAGGUUCAAUCGAUUCUUCUGCCUCAGCCUUCUGAGUAGCUGGAAUUAACAGGUGUAUGCCAACUUAUCUGGCUAAUUUUGUUGUGUAUUUUUC